GGUGGAAGCAAAACAUCAUCGGUUGUCAUUUCAAGUGGUUCGAAUUCAAAUUUACCCAAAUGUGGAUGUGAUCAAGCAAUGAAGAUCUCGGUCGCAAACACAAUCAAAAACCCCAAUCGAAAAUUUUAGAGAUGUCGAAAUGCUAGGAGUGUUGAAAGUUAUGACCUAUUAAUCUAGGACGAUGAAAUUGGACAUGAUCAGUUUCAUGGUAGGAAUGAAAAUCAAAAGAUCCAAACAAGUUGCAAUAAUUGUGAUAUGAUAAUGGCUUAUUUGAGAAAGUUUGGGAAGGACAUUGGCAAGGAAUUUGAGAAGAAAUUUGUCAAAGAGUAUGAGGUACAAAUCAGUUCAAAGAAGCAUGAAAAGACGAAGAAGACACUUCAAAUUGAGAAGAACAAAAGUCAUGCUUUAAUGUUUGCACUUAUGAUGUUUUGGAUUAUGUUUUCAAUUGUCUAUAAGUUAAUGUAAUAUGUAGUUUAAUGGCCGCACUAAUUAGGUAUUCUCCGAUUAAGAAUUUUGUUUUAAUGGUUCAUGUAACAUUUGAUGUAUGAAAUGACGAUGUAUAAGUUGCAAGUUUCAUGUAUGAAUUGCAAGUUUAGUAAUGAAAUAUUUCAUAUUUAAUCA